UCGUAGGCCUAAGACUAAUUGUUUGCAAGGACUGCUGCGCACCCGGAUGUAGGCAGGCAAGCUGCAAGCAAUCAGUGAGAUGAUCCAUCAAUCAUCAUCAGACUGCAAGCCUUAUAGCCUCUUCACAAAGGACCAGAUGGCUGUGUGACAUGUUUUCAGUUCUGUGCAAGGAACCACCAUCACACCAUGCAGAAGGAAAAUUACUCUGCAGGCCCUUCCCAUCUUCCUGUGGGAAGAUGGAUUUUUUAAGACCUGGAAUGCAGAAGAAAUUGACCUGCCAGACUUCUCGGAUGCAGCUGUAGCUAUUCUCACUG